rnacentral:rRNA from 1 species
UACGUAGGGACCAAGCGUUGUUCGGAUUUACUGGGCGUAAAGGGCGCGUAGGCGGCAAUUCAAGUCAGCUGUGAAAUCUCUGGGCUUAACCCAGAACGGCCAGCUGAUACUGCUUUGCUAGAGUGCAGAAGGGGCAAUCGGAAUUCUUGGUGUAGCGGUGAAAUGCGUAGAUAUCAAGAGGAACACCUGAGGUGAAGACGGGUUGCUGGGCUGACACUGACGCUGAGGCGCGAAAGCUAGGGUAGCAAACGGG